UGUUGCGGGUAUCUUUGCCUC
rnacentral:miRNA from 1 species